rnacentral:rRNA from 1 species
CCUACGGGAGACAGCAGUGAGGAAUAUUGGUCAAUGGGCGGAAGCCUGAACCAGCCAUGCCGCGUGCAGGACGACGGCUCUACGAGUUGUAAACUGCUUUUGUAGCGGGGAAAAAUGCGCUACGUGUGGGGUUUUGAAAGUACGGUACGAAAAAGGAUCGGCUAACUCCGUGCCAGCAGCCGCGGUAAUACGGAGGAUCCGAGCGUUAUCCGGAUUUAUUGGGUUGAAAGGGUGCGUAGGUGGUUUUAUAAGUUCGCGGUUAAAUCCCGAUGCUCCACCUCGUGGCUGCCGCUAAUACGGUCUGCCUAGAGUUCGUGUGCAGCAGGCGGAAUGUGUAGUGUAGCGGUGAAAUGCAUAGAUAUUACGCAGAACUCCGAUUGCGAAGGCAGCUUGCUAGGCCGCAUCUGACACUCAUGCAC